AAUCAGAAAAUCUGAUUUUGAUAUAAUUUAAACUGAAACUAAUUCAUCUUAUAAAAAUAACAUGAAAUUUAAUUGAAUCAAUCAAGGAUGGCUCUGAUACCACUGUUGAAUUUUGAUGACGUAGUGGAUUAUAAAUUUUAAAAUUUUUAACAUGCAUUCAACAAUUAAAAACAAGGUUUGAAAAUUAAACAAGAGCACUGAAAUACAAAAUCUUAGGAACCCCUUGAUGAUUACAAUCAAACGAUCAAAAAUAUA
rnacentral:lncRNA from 1 species